CCUCCAGCAGCCUGUAAUUCCAGGGAGGCAAGCUGUUUUGGUCACUGCUGUAUUCCCUGCACCCAGUGUGGUCUGCCACACAGAAGGGACCUGAAAAUAUUUAUGGGCUGGAGGAAGUUCAGAGAGGCUACUCCCUUAGCUGUCCUAGUUACAACAGGGACAGGAACUGGAUCAUUGUGCUGAGGAUGAAAAGCACCCGGUGCUUAACCUUGUUCAUGGAAUCCUGCCUCCAGAUGACAGGUGCAAAGGGAAGCCUCCAGGGCCUGAGGUCUAAGGAAUCAUCACAGGCAGCAGAAGGCAUGUUGAACAGGACUUGAGGUCACAGAACUCCACUCCUCAUCUCAGGACCUCAAAGUGCCUCAGCUACAAAGUGGGCAUCCCAGCCUGGCUCCUGGGACUUUGAGAAGCCAAUGAGCAUGGAAGAGCCAGAAGGGAAGGAGCCGUUGCCCCUGGAGGCAGCUCUCGUUUUCAAGGGCACUGCCGGCCCCAGUACAUACCCCCCCACAGCCAAGCUGAGGCCUCCCUGCACUCCCACUCCCAGCCCUGGGCCCUGUAAGCUCUGUUCACUCCUGAACAGCCCUCUUUCGUCCUGUACCUGCAAUGCCUCUCGUGGGGGAGAUGACACAGCUCUCUGCAAUGAACUGGCUUGAUCAAAUGUCAGUGGUUUGGAUAAAGACUCAAGUAGCCUUCAAUGUGUGCAUUUGGGAAAUCAAUGCGAACUCAAGGUCAUGGAGGCGGGGGUGGUGUGGGGAGCAGCCUGAGCAUUUGGGAUGGCUUGAAAGAGGAUCAUGAACAUGAAAUUGGGCCUCUCAGAUACUGGAUACCCAACUAUAUCCAGCCUUCCUGGCCUCUGAGGAAUACUGCUGUCUACAGACAAAGUCCACCUGCUCCCAGCACCCUCCCUGCCAACCAUGUCUAAAUAAAUUGUCAAAAGAUAGUCUCUGGUGCGUGCG